UUUAGAUGGCGACCGGCGCACGGGUGAGUAACACGUAUCCAACCUGCCGAUGACUCGGGGAUAGCCUUUCGAAAGAAAGAUUAAUACCCGAUGGCAUAGUUCUUCCGCAUGGUGGAACUAUUAAAGAAUUUCGGUCAUCGAUGGGGAUGCGUUCCAUUAGGUUGUUGGCGGGGUAACGGCCCACCAAGCCUUCGAUGGAUAGGGGUUCUGAGAGGAGGGUCCCCCACAUUGGAACUGAGACACGGUCCAAACUCCUACGGGAGGCAGCAUG
rnacentral:rRNA from 1 species